AUGCAAGGAUCAGUGUUGGGAUUCAGCCUCUUUGGCAUUCCUCCUCUUUAUGAACACGUUCAUAGAAAAAGGAAAGUACUAUUAUUAAAAUAGAUUAUCUCUGAGUUUAAGUAUGACUGUGUGUGUGUAGAUACAUACAUACUUAACUAUAUAUCUAUCUAGUUAAGUCACUAACUAGUGACUGUGUGUAUAGAUAGAUAGGUAGUUAAGUAUGUAUCUAUCUAUACACACACUUAUAUAUGUAUAUGUAGAUCUUUUUUCUUUUUCACUACUGACCACCAACAACUGACAAUCUGGAAUCCUGACUGCUUUCAUAACUGAAACCAAGGGUUUGUUGAAUAUUCAAAAGUUUACACAAUGUUCGGGAGUCCUAACGUCGAAUCUGAGCGUCUCUUAGAAAGUGUUCUUACAUUGAACUUCGGAAUAGGGUGAUAUUUUCCGUUGAUCAGUGAAGGAGGAUUCUGAUUUCCAUGUGGUGUCCAAUCCUGCCUUCCUGUGAUGAGCUUUUAAAAAGCAUAGAGAACUUUUGAAGGCAACAAAGGGAGGCUCUUCUACCUGAAAACACACACACUCUCUCACUGCAACCUGCAUGCCUUUUAUAGUGACAAACUGUAAUUGUUUAAAACUUGGCUCUCUCCUCUUCCCUCAGUAAGAAGUAGAAGUCUGCCAGUUUGAACUUUAAUGGUCUCAGCUGUUUUGGAAUGGUGUAAUCACAUUGUGAGAUUCAUUUUACAGCUGGACCAGUGAAUCAUAUUCAUUCACAAAACCAGUUUUACCUGGUUGGUUCCAGUUUUCCUCUAUGUGCACUCACAGGGGCAUAGAUUUACCUCUGGCCUUGACCAAGGAAAUGUUUAAUCCUGGAGGAAAUUGUCGUUGUGGUUAUUCUGGGGCUCUGUGCAGUGUGCCUGCUCCCCGAGGAGCUCUCUAGCCAGAUGAGAAAGGGGGCUUGUAUUGGGAGCAUUCUCAGACACACUGAGAAAGUCUUGCAUAUGCAGCAAUUUUAGUUUCUAUUUCUGAGAAUUUUGUCAGGAGUCUUGACAAUCAAUGAGGACUGAAAACAAUUAGUCACAGUUGUGGAUUUCUCGUUAGGUUCACGGUCAGAAUGUGCUUCACAGGGAAAGGCACGUCUGAAGGCAAAGAGCAGGGCUGUGCUGAAUGCGUUUUUUCACCGGACAAUGGGAUUUCAGUCUGUGGCUCAGGAAACAUUGUGACAUUCCCUUUGUUUAAUCAAAGUUCUUUCCAACUCUCAAAGGCUGGCUGAUUUGAGAGCCGCCUUAUCUUCCCUAUCUCUGAUAGACGAUGCAGUUGGUGUUGAAAUUUUUACAGCUAAUCUGAGCAAAAUGUUUUCAAGCAGUACAAACACAGCCAAAUGAUGUCGUUCUUAUGCUUGUUAUCAAUAAAAGAAAUUUCCAGAUUUCCCUGAAUCAGGCAGGGACUCUGUUUUCUUUCAUUCCUUCCAGUGCCCAGGUGAACUCACAUAGAUUCAGAAAGCAGGGAUUCAGGAACAAGGAAACAAGCCCUCCACUGCUGGGAGAGGCGUGGGGAAAACUGAAACAGGGGAACUCUCGGAAGAAAUGACAACCUGUUCCUCCUGCCUUUUGGGAUCUUGCGAUGUGGGCCCGGAUUUGCUUUAUAUCAUUUUCUUGUUGUUCCAUGUCACGUGGAAGAAUGGUAUGUUGGGAAGAGGAUUCCGUCCAUGCUUCCAGAGAGCUCCAUGUGUGUUCAGCGCAGAGCAAGUGCUGCCCUGCAGCUGCGUGUAGGUCAGGGAGAGAUAGCCUUGUGGGCAAGCCAGAGUUCCAGAAGGUUCAGAAGGCCCAGACAAUUCAGAAGUUUGCUUCAGCGUGUAGCGGGUGUGGGCAUUUCUUUCUAGUUGGUAGUGGGGACUGGAGGAAGCCUGGAGCUGCUUUGGAGAGGGGUCUUGGAAGCUUGGCAGGGAUUCGCAGGGGAGGGAAAGAUGCUCCUCCCACAGCACUGGGUAGAUAAGGACACACCCACAUGACCCAGCCCGCGUCUAAAUGGCUCAGGCAGCCCUUCAACCCAGCACACCAUGGAAUCACUCUAUUUCCUGGGCUCUUCUGUUCAACCUCCUGCAUUUCUGUUUUUUUAUCUGUAAAUUGGGGCUAAUACUCACCUUCCAAGUUUGUUAAAUAGAAGUUAAAUAAGAUUUAUCUAUAAAUCUUGCAUCUAUCUAUCUUUCUUUUUAUCUAACUAUCUGUCCAUCUGUCUGACUGUAUAUCUAUCUGUCUAUCUACCAUGUCUGGCGCAUAACACACGAAGUUAGGGAGGCACCAAAGCUGGAAUAAACAUUGGUUCCCUUCUCACUGUGAGCUCCUCUGCUCCCUUUUCCAGCCUCCAUGUAUAUAGCCUCAGAUUCGACAGAGCAGGAUUGAAGUUUUUGCCUGUUAGUUUGUUUUCUUUGUCUUGUCCAAUAUCUCUUCUCCAUGGCUCCGGGCCUUCUGCUUUGCUGUUUUAAGCGCACACUGAGCUCACCAGGGAGAACCUGUGUCUGAAGCCACCCCCUGCGACUGCCCUGAGCAGAGUCAGUUUUCCAGGCUCCAUGUAGUGUCCUCAUCCUGCAUUCUUCCUUCACACCCCCCAAGCCUCCUUCUGCCUCUGCGCGAUCCUCUGCGUGGACGCAUUUCAGAGGCACGGACAUCAUUGUAACAGAGGUGGUUUCAUAUCACUUCCUUGUCUUUUGUUUCCCAGCCUUGGAGGAGGCUGUCUGCAAACACUGGCAGUAUUCUUAGAGGAAGCUUGGGUUUGGGGCCUAGACACAUCCAGUCUCCAUGAAACGAUGAGAACAGCUGUCCUGAAAUGACAGAGCAAGAAACCUGCGCAGCAACAGCCUCAGAGAGGCCCCUUAAUAUACCUUCUCUACUAUGAAAAAUCAGAUUUUGUGAACAAUUUGGCAUGAGGAGAGAAAGGAACCUGAAGUUUUUAGCAAGGAAGGGCCCUGAUGAUGGUUGCCUUCAACAUUGCCUCAAUACUCAACAUCCAAGACAGCCCUGGCUUAGCAACUGGAAUCACGGAUGGGGAAAAUUUUUUCUCAAGCACAUGUGAAAUUUGGCUGUCAGACCACCUUCAUCUGCACAGAAAGCUAAAUGUAUUGCCUAGUUUUGCAACUUCAUAUGACUGUUCGCCAAACUGGAAUAAUUGUUGCAUUUGUGUGUGACUUCUCAGUAUUCCUAUGGCAUUACCACCAUAGCACCCCUAUGUCAAAUGGUGAAAGAAUUAGGUGAGGUUUUGUGAACGUUUAGAGUAACUUUGUUUUUUUGCAUCAACAUUCAAGAAGCACUCCUUCCCUUCCACUGCAGUAGAACCUUGAGGUCCCUCUCAGAUUUCUGUGGGGUGUCUGUGGUCUGCU
rnacentral:lncRNA from 1 species